rnacentral:lncRNA from 1 species
GUUCAGCCUGGAGAAGGCUCGGGGGAGACCUUAUAGCAUCUAUAUAGACGUAUAGAUGGGGACAGACACUUUAUCAGGGAAUGUAGUGACAGGAUGAGGGGUGAUGGUUUUAAAUUGGAAGAGGAGGGAUUUAGAUUAGAUACUAGAGAGAAAUUCUUGGACGUGGAGUUGUUGGAAUGGGUCCAGCGGAGGGCCACAAAAAUAAUUAGAGAGCUGGAGCACCUCUGCUAUGAAGACAGACUGAAAGAGUUGGGGUUGUUCAGCCUGGAGAAGGCUCGGGGGAGACCUUAUAGCAUCUAUAUAGACGUAUAGAUGGGGACAGACACUUUAUCAGGGAAUGUAGUGACAGGAUGAGGGGUGAUGGUUUUAAAUUGGAAGAGGAGGGAUUUAGAUUAGAUACUAGAGAGAAAUUCUUUACUUUACAGUGAGUGUGGUGAGACACUGGAACAGGUUGCCCAGAGAAGUUGUGGAUACGCCAUCCCUGGAACUGUUCAAGACGAGGCUGGAUGGGGCUUUGAGCAACCUUGGUCUAGUGGGGGGUGUCCCUUCCCAUUGGAGGGGGGUUGGAACUCAAUGAUCUUUAAGGUCUCUUCCAACUCUGACUGUUCUGUGAGCCUAUGAAUAAUGCUUUAUUGAAGCAGAAGAGGGAUAUAAAAAUUUACAAGUUCAGAUGCAUCUUUUUGUAUUCCAGCAGGUCAUUUCAGAUGUCAGUAGUCCCCAGGAAGAUCAAAAGGCAGAAGAAACAGAGGAAGGAAAGGCUGAACAGAAUACCAUGGCGGAGGUUGUUGCUAGCAAUAUUUCUCAGUCAUUCUCUUUAGAACAAGAUGCAGAAGUUCCCAGUAAUGAAGAGAUUUCUUUAAGUGAUGGUCAGCCUUCUCAGACCAUCGUGUCAACUAUGUCAAGUGUUGCCUCCGAUGCUUCCAUUUGUGCAAAGAAACAAGAAGUCAAGGAAGAAGUCCCUAUAGAGGAGAAACUAAACCCAUCAGAAACUGUUAGGCAGAUGCUCCAAGAUGAAAUGUUUAAGCUAGUUCAGGUGAGAGCAUCUCAUUAUUGACAACAGUAUUUACAAUACAAACUGUAUUAUUGAAAACAAUGGAGAUAAUUACUGUUUUAAAGGUAUUCUAUGUGUGGUUGUUUUUGAGAGAUUUCCAGUUCCAC